AUGGGAGCAUGUGUCUCUUCCCCUCCCCCUCUAAUACCUAUACCAUUGUUCUCCAGCAGGGCAUUGUCCCAGGGACACUGCCAAACCAGUUGAAACAAGCUGUUUUGUCCCAAAUAGGACUUUUACCUAACUUUUGAACUACUGGAGGGAAUUGUAUGAUUUUUGGGUAUGUUUAUAAUUAAAGUGUGCUGAGUUCGAAUAUGUG